GUUUAUGUUUCAUUUAUCUCUCCAUUUAAAGGUUUGAGCUUUAACAUCAGGUUCCUUGGCUUGUUAGAAGUCAUCUGACAGAACUAAGGACCCUUUUUUACUUCUUUGUAGGGAUAUUAUUUACUGGGCAUUGGCACUGGCAGAAUUCUUAGCGUGAAAUUAUUAUUACUUCUGUAUCAGCAGAGAUGGGUGUGGCACUCUGAAGAAUCUGUCAAGAUGAAGUCUCUGCUUCUGCAAACUCACAGCCUGCAGUCCUGAUCCCAUAAUUUAUUCUGCAUGGUCCUUACCUCAUGGAAACCUAAGCAGUCAAGAGCAGGACAUUGGGACAGUUACACAGGAAGGGAGAAGGAGGACUCAGUAUGGUGGGACCUGUCCGUCUCAUGAUGCACAGGACUUCUUUCUAUGCUGCCAUGUGUGCCAAAAGUGGUCCCUCCCCUGCUUGGCUGAGAGAGGCUGGGGUCAGGCACACAAACUCUCUUUUCUUUUCCAAGGACACACCAAGAACUUGUGGCAGAAGUGGAAACAAAGUCCUAUCUGAUUCAGUGCUUCACCCGCACAAACAUAGUUUAUCAAUACAGAUGGUCUUAGAUGAAAGAUACAUCAAAGCAUAUUUUUGGCUGCUGCUUUCAGAAGUAGUACUAAAUCUCCUGGGGGAAGGCAAGCAGUGUGAUAUGAUCCAAGUAUCAAAAUCCCCAUCUUCUUUCUCUCCUCCUUUGUCACACUGGUGGGGUUCACAGGAAAGCCCUUCCUUGAGGUUAUGUCAUUUAUUCCCAUCAGUAGAUUUUGGUUACUAAAUACAUUUUUGCUAUUUUCCAACAAAAAACAGUGCCUGUUUCAACACUAACUCUGAAGAUUUGUAAAUUGGCAAAGGAUACAAAAAGAAUAAUGAACCAGCAGUUACUGUUUACAUUGGCCACCUUGUAUAAAUGCUGAUAUUAGCAUUUCUAAAAGGAUUCAUUCAUCACUGAAAAAAAGGUCUGUACCUGUGAAUAAGAGCUUGCCUGGGAGGGCCUGUGUGCUUCCUCUUCUCUAUCAACAAACACUACAAAAAUGAAGAGAGUUUUGCAAUGGAUAUUUAUACAUACCUAUUAUUUCAGGAUGACAAUAAGCCAUUUAAUAUAUUCCAUGCAGCAGUAAAUGAAUGAAAGCAGCAGUAAAUUUAAAGAAAAAUAGUAUUUA